UGAGAAGCAACACUUUUUUUUAUCAACACGAUCGGUUUUGUAACACCCUGCGCGCGCGCACUUGCACAAUAUCCUUCUUAAUUUUGCAAAGAUUUGUUGGCUUGUUUCCUCAUACAGAAAUAGGUUUUGGAUUCAAAGUAGAAUUGUUAUCACAUUACCUCUUGUUUUUUGGGAUGAGUUUGAUUUCAUACACAUAUGCUAACUUUUUUGUCAAUAUUCAAGGGAAGAAAUUGCCAAGUAUUUAACAGAUUUAUUGCAAGAAUCUCC
rnacentral:lncRNA from 1 species